rnacentral:rRNA from 1 species
GAUGAACGCUGGCGGCGUGCUUAACACAUGCAAGUCGAACGGAGUUUACAUGAAACCUAGUGAUUGUAAACUUAGUGGCGGACGGGUGAGUAACGCGUGGGUAACCUGCCUUGUACUGGGGGGACAACAGUUGGAAACGACUGCUAAUACCGCAUAAGCGCACAGCUUCGCAUGAAGCAGUGUGAAAAACUGAGGUGGUACAAGAUGGACCCGCGUCUGAUUAGCUAGUUGGUGGAGGUAACGGCUCACCAAGGCGACGAUCAGUAGCCGGCCUGAGGAGGGUGAACGGCCACAUUGGGACUGAGACACGGCCCAAACUCCUACGGGAGGCAGCAGGUGGGAAUAUU